CGCGAGAGGUCGCCAUUGAAGCCCCGGCGUUGAACAGCUGCAGCUCGUAUCAAGUCCGUAUUUUAUAUUUUAAACUGCUAGCUACACACCUAUGCUUAAAUCCAAACGGACUAAACCAAGUGGAAACGCUUUGGUAGAUGCCACGUGCAAAGUCAUGCCACCAUCAAUGGGAAUGGCACAUUGGACACGUGGCUUUCAACUCCAGCGAGGUGGCGGCACGGAUCUCUGCAUGUCUGACUGACAUCUCCCAGUGGAUGUCCGCCCAUCACCUGAAGAUCAACCCCGACAAGACUGAACUACUUCUCUUCCCUGGAAAAAACUCGCCCACUCAGGACCUGACUGUUAACUUUGGCGAACACCGUUAACAUCAGGAGAAUACGACCCCUUCUCACUCAGAAGGCGGCGCAGCACACGGCACAGGUUGGCGUCACAAUCAUGGCAAAGUUGACUGGACCACAGCGGAAAAUUAUCCUUCCAGAGAAGAAGUUAUUUACUUCUACAACGAAUGGAAGAGUUACAACUUCCAGAUGACAGCUCUCCGCUCAUCCUUCUGGGCAACUUGAACAUCCGACAGAACUUAUGUGACCUACUGCGUUUUAUUUUCUCCUUUAGCUGUCAUUUAAGUAUUAAAAUUCGCUGUAUUUUUGCAAGAGAGGCACCAAUCCUAUUUGAGUGACGUUUCGAUUGUGAAAUUGUAUUGGACCAUAUAGGUCAUCUGCAGAGCGUUGGCCCCUGGCGCAGUAAACCAGGGUUUGAUUCUUGGCAUGCACAAGACUCCUCAUGUGACUUAAAAUGAAUCCAGAAUGCAAUAUUUGUUCAGUAUGCAAGGGCAGUGAUUUAUUUAGUCAUGUUUGGUCAUGUUUUGGUUUUUUUACAUGACAAUAUGGUUUGGUACAUGCUGAGUUAAUGAAUAUACAUUCUAAAUUGCAAUGUCCAUAUGUGAAUAAGAGUUGUAUACGUUUAUCAUAGUCAACAUGGUGUGGAAAUAUCCCUUAUGUAGUUGGUCAAUGGGAACUAUAGUAGGCCGUAAUAACAGCUAAGGUAAUUACAGGUGGAUAUUUCUGGGAAUUAACCUUAAAUGAGACUGCAUUUAUGAUAUCUAAGAUAUACAGGACAAGAAAAAUGCACUGGAUGUGUAUAUGUGUUGAAUCAAUUAUACAGACGCAAACUGGAGAACGAGACAAGUGUUGCUGUGAUACUUAUUGUGGUCAUCGUGCCCGAGACCCGUAACAAUUACUCCGCAGGUCUUUUGCAGCGGGGCAACAGCCCGGCGUCGGUGGAUUCCGUUCGCGAGGCCGCAGAUUCGGGUUUGAAUGGCAGCCCCGAGAAUGAUUUGUUUAGUCUCUUUAGUCUUUUUUGACCCGCGAGCCCGGCCGACCGCCGCCCCACCCCGACGUGCGAGAAUAGGCGAAGGCCCGUUCAUCGCUGCUUGCAGCUUUAAUUAUUAUUAUUAUUAUUAUUAUUUCGCCACUUCGAACGCACUUUCGGGGACUUCAUCAUGUUCAAAAACUCUUGAAUUUUUGCACGCGCAUCAGAAGUGCGCAAAAUUGACGUAUGAUUCGGGUCCCGCAAUUAGAGGAGAGAAAAAAGAACUCUCUAGCGCCCCCCAAAGUGGCCGCAAUGUUAAUUUUUUUUUUUACUUUUACCGAUCGACUUGGAACCUUUUCACACAGGUUCUCUUGGAUGUGCUGUACACAAAAAAAAUUAUGGUAUGCAAAUGCGCCUACCGUUUUAUGGCCGCCAUUUUGAAUUUUGUGAAAAACACGUUUUUGCGAACUCCUCCCAGACGCUUGGUCCGAUUCUUACGAAAUCUUCGGCAAAAUGAUCGUUGGCUCGAUGCGAUCAAAAGUUAUUGAAAGAAUGUUGAUAUCUCAUUUUUCAAUAAAGUUAUGGACCAAUGAAGUUUGUAGGUUUGUGUCCUGAAAGUUCAAA